rnacentral:rRNA from 1 species
GCUCAUUAAAUCAGUUAUAAUCUAUUUGAUAAUUUAAUUUCUUAAUUGGAUAACCGUAGUAAUUCUAGAGCUAAUACAUGCAAAAAAUUCAGACUUUUUUCUUCGCAAGGAGAGAAAGGAAUGAAUGUAUUUAUUGGGUUAAAAAAAAUCAGUUUUUGGGGCAACUCAAAAAACUUUAAAAAAUUUGGUGAAUCACAGUAAAUUUACGAAUCGAAUUUCUUUUUUUUAAAAGGGGAUUUGAUGAUACAAAUAACGAGUUUCUGACCUAUUAACUUUCGAUGGUAAUUUAGUGGAUUACCAUGGUUUUCAUGGGUAACGGAGAAUUUGGGUUUGAUUCCGGAGAAAAGGCCUGAGAGACGGCCAUUACUUCCAAGGAAGGCAGCAGGCGCGUAAAUUACCCAAUCCCAAUUCGGGGAGGUAGUGACGAGAAAUACUAGUAUUGGUCCCAACGGGAACAAUGAUUGGAAUGAGAACAAUUUAAAAACAUUAACGACUAACAAUUGGAGGGCAAGUCUGGUGCCAGCAGCCGCGGUAACUCCAGCUCCAAGAGUGUAUAUUAAAGUUGUUGCGGUUAAAAAGCUCGUAGUUGGACUUGAGGGAUUUAUAUAAAGAGAUUCUAGUUUUAAAGCUAGUUAUUUCUGUAUAUUUUUUCCUUUCUUUUUAUUUUUUUUUAAAGAUCUGGGACUAUGGGGUUAAAUCCGGAAGCCCUUUUCUUGUAAAAAUAGAUAGUUUACUUUGAAAAAAUAUAGAAUAGGACAUUAACCUUAAUUUUGUUGGUUUUGAAGGUUAAUAGUAAUGAUUAAAAGGGAUAGUUGGGGUCACUUGUAUUUGAUCGCUAGGGGUGAAAUCCUAUGAUUGAUCAAAGACAAACUACUGCGAAAGCAUUUGACAAGGAUGUUUUCAUUGAUCAAGAACGAAAGUUAGGGGAUCGAAGAUGAUUAGAUACCGUCGUAGUCUUAACCAUAAACAAUGUCGACUUUGGAUUAGGAAAUAUUACAUGGAUGAUUUUCCUAGCACAAUAUGAGAAAUCAUAAGUAUUCAGACUCCGGGGGGAGUAUGGUCGCAAGAGUGAAACUUAAAGGAAUUGACGGAAGGGCACCACCAGGAGUGG